AUCAAUGAAUGCCUGUCAGACAGUGACAACAAAUGUGCAAUUAAAACCAAUUGUGUCAACAUUGAUGGCAGCUACACAUGUUCAUGUGAAGCAGGGACAAAGCUGGACAAUGAUGGCCGCUCUUGUAUUGAUUGUAGUGGUGAAACUUGGGGCAUACAGUGUAACAAGUCAUGUAGCUGUGGGUCAGGGGAAGAUUACUGUGAUCUAAAAACUGGUUGUGUUUGCAAGUCAGGAUACACUGGAACAUUAUGUAAUAUUGACAUUGAUGAAUGUACAACUGGAGCACAGCAAUGUGGCACCAAUGAGAAAUGUGUCAAUUUACCUGGAUCUGCUACCUGUCAAUGCCAAACUGGUUAUGUAAGAGAGA